GAAAAACCGUCAUUUCAUUCAUGUCUGUCUCUUCACUCCACUGCCUGGUUCCGUCCCCCAUCUCCAAACUCUUUGAUGGUCAUCUCCGGACGACGUCCAAUUCCAUCACAACCACUGCCCCCUCGUGUCCGUCUCCUCACUCUAGGGCCGUCGAAACCGCUUCUACUGGAUGAUGAAACGUCCUCUGUCCUAAUUUGUUCAAUUCGUGCUCAUAAUCUCCAAUCCGCCGCAUUCUCUUCAAUAUUCAAUCCUCAGCCGUCACCUCCUCUACCCGGUAGGUCGUCUAUUCCUUUUCUAUCUUUUGGGCAAACACCCGUAUAUGAAGUAUGUGAAUUAAACUAGACCAAAAAAUAUUUAAGGCUUGAAGCUGAAAGAGAGCACUAUUUGAGAAUGAGAAUGAGUGAAAUGAGUUUUCUCAGGUUUUCUUGUCUUGUUCUUGCCUAUUAUGAUAAUGGGUGAAAUGAGUUUUUCUUAUUUGUUUGUUUUCUUUAUGAUUUUGUUGUAGCUGUGGAUUUCAUUUUUUGGAUUGCUUAUGGAGUUGUGUUCAGUUAUGGAUUUGGUUUGUUUUCCUCUGUGUUUGAGGUGGAAUUUUAUAUAUGUGAAACACAGAAUCUUGAUGUUUUGUUUAUUCAUUUUGUGGUUACUGUGUUAAUCUUUUAUUUUAUUUAUUUGUUUGUUAUAAAUUGGAAUGAGAAUUAUAAGUCAUAGAAACUUUUGGUUCUCUAAUUUUUACAAUUUAGUUGGUUUAAUUAAUCAGAGAUGGGGUAUGGUAAGGGUAAGUUUUCUUCUACAAUGUUCUUGGGAAUAAAACUUUUAUAUAUAUAUAUAUAUAUAUAUAUAUAUAUAUAUAUAUAUAUAUAUAUAUAUAUAUAUAUAUAUAUAUAUAUAUAUAAUGAUAAAAGUCAUUAUUCUAUAGAUCAAAUGAAAAAGUACAAUAUUUGGAGCCAGAAGUGAAAACAGAGGCAAAACUAUCUACCAAAAAGGGGUUUUACAGUUGAGAGUGAGAAACAAAGAUUUUUUUUUUCAAUUUAUUAAAUGUGGAGGUGAACUUUUUUUUUUCUACUUUUCUUUCGGUUCUCAACUUGAUGAACUUCAAGGAGUGUGAGGAAUUUUGGGUGGAUUGAAAAUCUGAAAAAUAUCGAUCAAGUAGUUGGUAUUGAAAUUUAGGGGAUCAUUUGAGUUAUGAAGUAUUGUUUAGGAUACUUUUAAGACUAUGCUGCAAACCAACUGUUAAGACUAAGAUUGAUGUUGAUUAGGAUACUUUCUCGGUAGAGUAGUUGAUAGCAAUAUUGUGAAGUCUAAUACGUUUCAUGUCAUAUAGUAUCCUACUAAGUUGUGACCCCCUUUCUUAAUAAUGUUAUGGAAAUUUCAAUACAGAGUUGUGACCCCCUCUCUUAAAACACGCUAAUUUCAAUGACCCCCUCUCUUAAAACUUGCUAAUUUCAAUGUUGAAGUUUCUCCAAAAACUAAUAAAUUAAAAGUGCGAACUAUUGUCGUGUAGGCAUGCCAUAGGCAUUGGCUCUCAACUCUCAAGGCUGAAGCCAACAACGGAGAGAAAAUGGGGGCAGGGUGGAGCAGUAGUGUAGUAGUUAGAUAGAAAAUGGGGGCAUUGACUCUUAACUCUCAAGUUUCAACUCUCACACUUGUUUUUUUUUUUUUUUUGUGAGUUGAUUAUCUCUGCUGGAAAUAUACUUUUGUGUGUGUUGGUUUUUCUUACCACAAUUUAAUCAAAUUUAGCUCUCUAUAUAGUACUAUUUUGUAUUUUUGAUAUAAUUAAUUGAAAUAGAAAUUUUUUGAAUGCUAUCAUAUUAUGCAUAUCAAAUAAAUUAUUUCUGGACAAUAAUAC
rnacentral:lncRNA from 1 species